rnacentral:ncRNA from 1 species
UGAGGUAGAGGCGCAAAAUCUAACAGUUUUUAGUGGAGCUAGAGAGUGUGAUGAAUCUAAGAAGAAGGAGAUUUUGCCGAAGUUUGUAAUAUGUCUCGAUAUUACUUGCUGGGUCUGCAGUUAAGAGCUGCAGGACUGUCUUAAUAAGUUUUCCCAGACUUAUUAAGUUGUGCUAUCUCAAAGGAG